GACGAACGCUGGCGGCGUGCCUAAUACAUGCAAGUCGAGCGGACUGAAUGGGAGCUUGCUCUUGUUCGGUCAGCGGCGGACGGGUGAGUAACACGUGGGCAACCUGCCCGCAAGACCGGGAUAACUCCGGGAAACCGGAGCUAAUACCGGAUAACACCGAAUACCGCAUGGUCUUUGGUUGAAAGGCGGCGCAAGCUGCCACUUGCGGAUGGGCCCGCGGCGCAUUAGCUAGUUGGUGAGGUAACGGCUCACCAAGGCGACGAUGCGUAGCCGGCCUGAGAGGGUGACCGGCCACACUGGGACUGAGACACGGCCCAGGCUCCUACGGGAGGCAGCAGUAGGGAAUCUUCCGCAAUGGGCGAAAGCCUGACGGAGCGACGCCGCGUGAGCGAAGAAGGCCUUCGGGUCGUAAAGCUCUGUUGUGAGGGACGAAGGAGCGCCGUUUGAAGAAGGCGGCGCGGUGACGGUACCUCACGAGGAAGCCCCGGCUAACUACGUG
rnacentral:rRNA from 1 species